UUUCUUUUAUAGUUUCCUGCCUAUAUCACUUUCAACUGGCAAAAUGAGGGUUUUAUAGUUUAAAGAUUAUCUGCAAAAUUUUGAGAUUCAAAAAUUAAAAUUAUUAGAUAACUUAAAAGUGAUCAUAAAUUAUAAACUAGAUUUGGAAAUAGUAAUAUUUAAUUUUAAUUAUCUGGAGCACCGCCUUUCAACGGUCACUAGCUAGCGCUCGGUAUAUAUAGUCACCGUCCACUGGCCUUCGUGUAUCGCUCUCAUUUAGUUUGAAAGGCUUUAGAGGAAACUCUCCUUCAGAAGCUCUACCUUUUCGGAUUUGGGAAUCCAUUUUCUCAAUGUCUACAUUCAUGGUGGAAUGGGAUUGAUUCACUUAACUAGAGCCUUGGUGUUGAACGAAGAAUCAGGUUUCUUUUCCAUUAUUUUUAUGAAUUUUCUUUUCAGUUGGGUUUUGGUGAUAUCUCGGUUUCGAUUCAAGAAAGUUAAGGAGUCCAUUUUUCUUCAAUUUAAUUUUACUUUGGAUGAUUCGUUAUUCUUCCACAUUUUCCUAUGAAUUUCCAUUUCGUUUUACUUUCAGAUUAUGAUCUUCUUUUUCCCUUUUUGGGUCUUGAUCCUUUUUUUUUUCUCUCAAUCUUCAAAAGAUCAUGAUCUUUUUCUUCGUUAUUCUUCCAAAUUUUGCCAUGAAUUUCCAUUUCGUUUUACUUUCAGAUUAUUAUCUUUUUCCCUUUUUGGAUCUUGAUCGUUUAUUUUCUCUCAUUCUUCCAUUAUUUUUAUGAAUUUUCUUUUCAGUUGGGUUUUAAUGAUAUUUCAGUUUCGAUUCAAGAAAUUUAAGGAGUCUAUUUUUCUUCAAUUUAAUUUUAUUUUGCACGAUUCGUUAUUCUUCCAAAUUCUCCUAUGGAUUUCCAUUUCGUUUUGCUUUCAGAUUAUGAUUUUUUUCCCUUUUUGGAUCUUGAUCGUUUUAUUUUUCUCAUUCUUCAAAACAUCAUCUUUUUCCCUUUUCGGGUCUUGAUCGUUUUUUUUUUUCACUUUUGGAAAGAUUAUGAUCCUUUUUCCUUUUCGGAUUUUGAUCGUUUUUCUUUUCCACUUGUCAAAAGAUUAUGAUCCUUUACCCAUUUUGGAUCUUGAUUGUUUUUUGUUUUUUGUUUUUUUUUUAUUACUUUUCAAAUUUUUGGAGUUUAUGUUUUAUUUUGAAUCUCUUUCAAAUGUUUUAUUUUCUUUUUCUUUUUUCCUUUGGAGUUCCAAAUAUGAUGAGAAGUUUUUAGGUUCAAAAUUUUACUCACAUUUUGUCUGAGACCUGACGUCUAAAAUAUUUAGGUGUUGAAAAACUUGUAUCCUGUUCAAAUAUAUAUGCCGAGUUAUGUGGUUAAGAAAGAUCAUUAAAUCAAACAUAUACUUGGAUGGAUAACCAUGUUUGAUUUUAUAGACUGGUACGGGUCUUCAGGAAUGGAGGAUUUUUGUGUAAGGGAGUUCCUUUGUAUAUACUUUGGUCCGUCUUAAAAAAAAAAAAACCUCUAAUUCACUAGUACAGAUGGUUUGUGACUGUAUCAAAUGUGGAUAUCCCAUUGAUUGCUGUUAAACCUUCAAUAAUUUAAUUGUACUGGUUGUUUUAAUCACCUCAAUUAUGGAUGUGCAUUGUAAGAGAUUGCUGUCAAAAACUUCUUAUAAGAAACAGGGAUCACCGUUAAAAGCUAAUAUGAGAAAUAGAAAAGCUUUUGGGUUUCUAUAAUGGGAGUAAAGUUGAAGGUCCACCAUGUUAAUCCUUUCCUGAUUGUGUUCUAUAAUGGGAGUAAAGUUGAAGGUCCACCAUGUUAAUCCUUUCCUGAUUGUGUACAUAGCUUCUUAUGGUAGAAAGACAUAUGCUUACAUAACUGUAAUUUCCUCUGGUUACUACAAAAAAUAGUCAAAUUUUUGGGAAACAUCAUAAAAUUAUUUAUUUUUAUUAUUGUGCAAAGAAAAAGAUACUCUUGAAGAUGCUCCCAUCAUUUGGUAACUUUGCUUAGAUACUUGAUGCCUGUAAAUGAGAUGUGGGAUGUGAUGGAUUGAGGUUAUUUUAUUUGCGCAUUUACUUGAAAUUUCACCCAAACUGUCACUAUGGCAUCUUCUAGUUCUACCAACUGCACACAGGUUCCUCAAGUUCAUCAUUUUGACCUUGUGGAUAGCAUGCAGCUUCAGGUGGUAAUUUUCAUUUUUGACAUGAAGGUUAUAAGGUUAUAAUUUAUGAGUUAUAUUGGCUAAUUUGGAAGAUUGAAUUGACUUUGAUUCAUUGGUUUCUAUAGAUUAAUGUAUCUAGACCUUCAAAUGGAUGCAAUGCUAAAGUUGAACUUCAAUAUAAGAACUGUUCAAGAAAAGGGAUUCUUCCCUGGGGUUGCACUUACCAUGGAAAUCGGUAAUGUGAGAAUGGAGAACCUCAUCAUAGUCUAAUUUUCUUUUUAUACAGUUGGUUUGUAUGUAUGAACAAUUUUGAAUUUUUGUAUCCGUACAGGAGCUGGGUCAUUCCUUCUGAUUAUCCUUUAGAGACAAAACCUUAUCAGCAAAACUGCUUUGCAGAUUCCAUCUGUAAAGGCCUAUCUUUCUUUCCCUACCUCUUCUCUAUAUUUUUUAUUUGCACUGAAUUGACUAGCACAAAUUAAGAGUUUAGGGGGUUAUACAUAAGUUGAUGUCUUUGGUUAAUAUGCAGACUGGAUAGCAAAAGGUGGUUCUGCUAAAUUUCUUGUCAUUGUUUACUAGGUUGAAAUUAAACAUGGGAAUUUCCAAAUUGAGAUACCUAAGAGUGUGAUGCAUAAUACCUCUCAUCUACCUAUACCAAAAGUUCUGAUAGAGUGAAAAGCAUAUUUACUGUGGGAAAGCAAGGGCAAGCCAAUGAGCUCACUGCGACAACAAAAUGUGGUUCUGCCUUUUGCAAUUGACAAUAUCUCAAUCUAUCAAAGACUUCCCCAAAGAAUUAAAUAACUAUUUCAUACUUGCAUAUUACUUAGCACUGCCUUCUAUGUCCAUUUAUUUGAGAGUUUUGUUUCUUAAUUUAGAUGUGACUUUUCAAGAGAGCGUAUUCUACACUUAUUUUUGCUUUCACCUAAUUAAGAAAAUCAGGGCUUUUUUGGCCUUUCUUUCCUUGUUAAAAUGAAUAACAUGUGUACAUAGAUGGUCAUGGUUCUCAAUGAAAAGUGAUUGAGAGUUGCGAAGAACAAUGUAUGUUUGUGUAGUCUGUCUUUUCUUAUAAGUUUCAAGAAGGAAUAUCCUGCACACUUGUUUAGGAGAAGUUGAGCAAUGUAUCUAUUUAUUAUUUAAAGCAACAUGUGGAGCAUUCAUCUAUCUACCUAGGGGUUUAGCCCUGUAUACAUUUAAAACAGUUCAUUUAUUAUCGCAUCUUCCUUUUACUGUGGCACUAGUUAUAUUAAUGGGCUUGUGCCCCAACUCCAGUUGUUCUGCCAAUGGUGCAUAUGCAUGUGCUAGACAGCCUUAUACCAUAUAACAGCCCAACUUCAGUUGUCCUCUCAAUUCAACUGAUGUUGAAUUAUUGAACUUUCACAAAGAAACUCACUAGAGUUUUCAUAAUUUCUUUGGAAGUGUCACCAAAUUUGGUGUUGGUUUUUUAUAUUUCUGAUGCAGCAAGACUAUGAAGAUGGUUUGAGGGAGCUUCAGAGUCAGUUGUUGAAGUGAAUUUCCUUGCAUGAAUUGCAAAGUAAUAUUCUUAAUGUGGGUGCUAAAGCAAUGGCUGGUAAUAAUGCACAACCUAGCUGCCAAACACCUUUGACCAUUGGAAGCAUUACGUCAGGAAGUGGUUAGAAAGGCAUUCGUAGGGACACACCAAAAGGGCUGGUUUUCCAUUGAUGAAUGAGAAGUGUAUUGGAGGAGAUAAAGUGAUCCUGCAGCAAAGUUAUUGUGUUGACUACUACAACAUGGUGGUUAGUUUUCUUUUCUUUUGAGAAGUGUAUUGAAGUGAAUUUCCUUGCAUGAAUUGCAAAGUAAUAUUCUUAAUGUGGGUGCUAAAGCAAUGGCUGGUAAUAAUGCACAACCUAGCUGCCAAACACCUUUGAGCAUAGGAAUAGAAAGGCAUUCCUAGGGACACACCAAAAGGGCGGAUUUUCCAUUGAUGAAUGAGAAGUGUAUUGGAGGAGAUAACGUGAUCCUGCAGCAAAGUUAUUGUGUUGACAACUACAACAUGGUGGUUAGUUUUCUUUUGAUGAAAUUGUGGUUAUGCUAAAGAGAGUGAACAAUGUGCUUCGAAACUCUUUGGACCUUGAUUUUUGGCUAACACUAGGUCACUUAUCUGUAUAAGUUGGCUUGUCAAAUUGUUGCAUCAUGAUCAAAUCCUAUUUCAUGGUGAAGCUUGUGGGGAAUCUUAUCUGACAAUUUGUCCUUUUUGAAAAUGGUCGGGGCUGAUUAUGGCAUAGUGGUUGCUACAAACAUGAAAAGUGCUACAGUGCUUCACUAAGGUGAAUCAAAGUUGUCCCCAGGGGAAGUGAGUUAAUUGUUUCCUGAUCUAGUAAGAGACUGUUUUAGAAAACUGAACAUAAUAAGCAUUAGACUCAUUUGGUGGUUGUUGAGUAUGUGAACCGUUACUUCAACAGUUGGGCUUUAUCACUGGUUGUCAGGCCUCUCCACCAGAGAUCUUGCAUGGAAAAUCAAAGCUGCUUGAUGGAGCAUGUCAGAUCUAUUUUACUGACAUGUUGAUUGGAAAAGGAUUCUUCCAGGUUAACAUAAGCAAAGCAUUUGUUUUUAUUACACACACACUUUAUCCUGACUGCACUUGUUACAGUUGGUCGCUAUUAAUUUGCAUCAAAGGUAGUUUUUGGGCCCACCGUUUGUCAUCUGGUCAGGUGGAUCAUGGAUAAAAGUAAUGGGUCAAAUUUCUCAACAGGCCUAAAAGCUAUGAAUCCACAUGGAAAGGUCACUCUCUUUUUCCCUCCUUAAUGAUUACUUAUGUUGUUCUUACGGUUUUAUGAUAGAAAUUUAAGUUGUAUUUCUGUGGUGCCACUAGUUUUGCGAAUAUGCAUAAAUGUAAACUGCCUAUGAAGUUUAAAAAGGUUUUCAUUUGCAUUCUGUUGUUUGCAACAUUCAUUGACUAGUUUUAAAACUUCAUAUGUUUUAUUAUUAUUCAUCUAUUUAACAUAGAAUAAGUAGAGUUGCCACUCUUAGUAGUCCAUAAUCGAACACAAUGAUUGUAUAAAAGGAAAAGAGGGCUUGUUUCUAUCUCAUACCUGAAGGGUAUGAUUUUUAGUUGCAGCAACGUUGCAGGUUUAGUCACAGGACCCAACAAAAUAUUGGGCUUUAAUUAUUACAUCUUUAGCAAUAAAAGAUCACAAUAAUCAUUUGAUUUGGGGACCUGUACCUGGGAAUGAGACCCUCAUAGCAUAACGACCUUUAAGGGGUUAUUUCCUAGUGCAAUGAUGACACUUCAUUCAUUUGGACAAUCCAACAUAUGAAGAUAUGUAUUGUCUCAUACCAAUUUCCAAAAUAUUUUCUUUAUUGGAAUAGGAUUAAUGGCCAUAGUUAGGGUGUUGCAGAAAUGCUUUUUCCUCAUUUUCUAAUGAAGCUGCGUUUUUUUAAUUAAUAAGCGCCUAUCUAUUUUCUUCCAAAUAUUCUAGUGAAUGGCAGCAAAAUGUCUGUGCCUGGCUCCACCCUCAUAAAGGAAUUUGAAUGCCCAAUGCCUUUUUAAUGGUUUUGUCCAAUUGAGUUCUUUACAAAUUCAUAAUAGCAUCAGAUUUUCCUUACUUGUGUAGCAAAACUUUAUUUAUUUGUUAUAUAGUCCUUUGUUUUGUUUUUUUUCUUUUUUCAAUUACCAUAGCUUUCAAAGUGGAAACUAAAAUAGUCCUUUGAUGUGGGUUGAAGAGAAUGGGAAAGGUAUUGUCAAAUGGUUGGCUUGAUGAAAUAAUAUCAUGAAGAAAAGAAAGAGGCUUAGAGAUCAUUGAUGCAUUGAAUUCCAAUUCCAUGGCAUUCAGAAAUGUUGCUUUAUAUGUUGAAUAGUUUUGGUGGACUUGAAGCAUUGGAAUAUUUCAAAACAAGGGUGCAAACAUAAUUUAAAAGGCUCAAGGCACACCAAGGUGCAAAGUCUUCCUAGAGCCUAAGGCGCAAGAUGCACAUAAGAUUCUCUUGUCUCAAAAAGGUAGUAGUGAUUGAGAAUUGCGUUAUGUUUUAGAAUAUAAAGCAGCAACCUUUGCAAUUCACAUGUUGUGCACUGGGCUUCAGCAAAUUGGGAAACUUAUUCAUGGCUCUUUAAAAAAAUUAAAUUAAAUUAAAUCAAAAUGUACUAAACGGUAACCUUCGAAGAAGGUUUUGGUGCGUGUAAAGGAACAUGUCCGGACUCCUGAGGGGACUUUUGGAAACCGCCUUUCUAUGCAUAAGAUUUCUUCAUUGAAAUAGAUACUAUAUAUUUUCCUUUCAGGUCAAUUAUAUCACUAUAUUUUAUAUUCGCCCAAUAGGGACCACCAAAGCAUGACUUUUGAUAUCUAACGCGUAUGGGACUUACUCCACUCUUGAUUUGCUCAUUCGAUAUGAUUUAGAUUUUCAUGUACUCUCAAGACUUGGUCCACAACGAAUAUUCGUUUGCUUUAAGCCUUUGUGCCAUCUUCCCCU